AUUGAACGCUGGCGGCAGGCCUAACACAUGCAAGUCGAACGAGUGGCGGACGGGUGAGUAAUGACUGGGAAACUGCCUGAUGGAGGGGGAUAACUACUGGAAACGGUAGCUAAUACCGCAUACCAUCGGAUGUGCCCAGAUGGGAUUAGCUAGUAGGUGGGGUAACGGCUACCCUAGGCGAAGAUCCCUAGCUGGUCUGAGAGGAUGACCAGCCACACUGGAACUGAGACACGGUCCAGACUCCUACGGGAGGCAGCAGUGGGGAAUAUUGCACAAGGGGCGCAAGCCUGAUGCAGCCAUGCCGCGUGUAUGAAGAAGGCCUUCUGGUUGUAAAGUACUUUCAGCGGGGAGGCGUUACCCGCAGAAGAAGCACCGGCUAACUCCGUGCCAGCAGCCGCGGUAAUUC
rnacentral:rRNA from 1 species